UACGUAGGGGGCAAGCGUUGUCCGGAUUUAUUGGGCGUAAAGAGCGUGUAGGCGGUUAGGUAGGUCCGUUGUGAAAACUCGAGGCUCAACCUCGAGACGCCGAUGGAAACCAUCUGACUAGAGUCCGGAAGAGGAGAGUGGAAUUCCUGGUGUAGCGGUGAAAUGCGCAGAUAUCAGGAGGAACACCGGUGGUGUAGACGGCUUUCUGGACCGUAACUGACGCUGAGACACGAAAGCGUGGGUAGCAAACAGG
rnacentral:rRNA from 1 species